ACGGAAGGCAGCAGUGGGGAAUAUUGGACAAUGGGGGAAACCCUGAUCCAGCGACGCCGCGUGAGUGAAGAGGUAUUUCGGUAUGUAAAGCUCUAUCAGCAGGGAAGAUGAUGACGGUACCUGACUAAGAAGCCCCGGCUAACUACGUGCCAGCAGCCGCGGUAAUACGUAGGGGGCAAGCGUUAUCCGGAUUUACUGGGUGUAAAGGGAGUGUAGGCGGCAUGGCAAGUCUGAUGUGAAAACCCGGGGCUCAACCCCGGGACUGCAUUGGAAACUGUCAGGCUAGAGUGCAGGAGAGGUAAGUGGAAUUCCUAGUGUAGCGGUGAAAUGCGUAGAUAUUAGGAGGAACACCAGUGGCGAAGGCGGCUUACUGGACUGUAACUGACGUUGAGGCUCGAAAGCGUGGGGAGCAAACAGGAUUAGAUACCCUGGUA
rnacentral:rRNA from 1 species